CUACGAUAGACUCAUUCUAGCCCACCAGCCUACUCUUCAUGAAAGGAGACCAGGCAAAGUCUGUCAUUCAAGUGUUGUUCCAACACUCAACUUGUAACAUGGUAUACUCUCUGAUUCUGGUGCCAACAACGAAAUGUCACUGUGUUUGUUCAAGGUUUUGUGACUUGGCUGGGUAUGAGGCACAAGGGAUCUUUGGCAACAGAAGGCUGGUGGGAAGGAAAACGGAAGCCAGCUCUUCAGGAACACCCACCAGUGGAAUGGAAGGACCUGAGGUGGAGGGAGAAAAGAGAAGUUUCUGCAUAUCUACACAGAGUGGAUGUCUUUUCUCUUAUAUCUUCUCAAGUCAAACCACCACCUAUAAAUCUCAUCAUGACUCCCUUACAGUGUGCAGUGUAGGAGAGGGCAGGAUCCUGGAGGCUAGAGCCCUGAGUAGAGCAUCUAGGCUCAACUCCAGAGAUGAUAAAUGGAACUCAUUGACAAAUAUUGCUGUGAACUCCUAG
rnacentral:lncRNA from 1 species